GCAUUAGUUUUAAGAAUGUAAAAUCAGUCUCGAAAGAGCAUAAAAUAAACAAAACUUUCAGCAACGGAUCUCUUGGCUCUCGCAUCGAUGAAGAACGCAGCGAAAUGCGAUACGUAAUGUGAAUUGCAGAAUUCAGUGAAUCAUCGAAUCUUUGAACG
rnacentral:rRNA from 1 species